ACCCUUGCAUAAGUGAGUCCAACACACGCAUCAACAAAAUUCUCAUCAAUAAAAUCAGUUGAAAAUACCUGAAUCCUAUCUGCAAAUCCCUUAGCAAAACAUUGAGCUAUGAAUAACCUAGCAUAUCCAUGAAUACGUCUCGUAACAGGUUCAACCCACAAAGCAAGGGUUUCAGCCACCGGAGUAACCGUAUUCUCCACCCUAUAAAAGUAUUUCCUCGACGUAACCGGUGGUUGUUCACUCAAAUGCGUCAAAUUACCAUCAAAUUUGGUUGAUGGCAGAUCCGUGUUAAUCCAAUUAUCCGUCAAAAACCCUUCACUCCAUAGAGAACUCCCUACUUUUGGAUGUGCCGAGUUUCUCGGCUUCCAGACACAUAUAAUCCUCUUAGGUAACAAUUCAGCAAUAGUUUUUCCAAAAACAUGAUCAUCUUGAUGAAUCAAAAACUCACCUAAUUGUUCCUCCAAGUACUUAUCAAAUUCAGGUGGAUCAUCGUGACCAAACUCUGUUCUAAUCUCAAGAAUAAUAAUCUCAGAUUUUGUUUCCGACAGAAACUUUUUAACAUCGUUAAUGACAACAUCGAUGUUGUAAGUAACAAGAAUUCCAUGACACACAUGUCGGUCAUGUUGUACACGAAUGUCAAUGAUACGUGUACCUAUUGCAAGUUGUUGAUAGAUGGACAGAGAUUGACAUUGAGCAAAAGGGCGAGUGAUGAGUGGGAUUCCAAUCUCGUUGGUUGCAGAAUUAUGUGUUCCUGGCCAUACAAUUUGAUUGAUGUGAACUUUAUCUGGGUUGAGAUUAUUCAUCCAGUUUUUUCUAUCAAAAGGACGGUAUUCAGAACCAGGGUAGUCUUCUCCUGAGGUUUUAAGAUCGGCUAGAGUUUUCUCCUCGGUGUGGAGUUUUGAGGCAUGAGAACCCAUCUUCACUGUCACACAAAAAGAUUGUCUAGACUUUGCUUAUUCUUGUUCUGCUUUUUCUUAUUGUAGCUAGACUUUGCUGUUUAACUUAAAAAGGUCAACCAAACUAUUAUAAAACAUGUAUUUUUUUUAUAGGCAAAAUUUUUUAUUAACAAACUCACUAAUAUAUAUAUAUAUAUUUUUAGCACAAUUUUUUUUACAUAAGUUAAGACAGACAGGCGCCCGCGCUGUCUGGCCGAAAUAUGCCCUGCUUGCCCGCCGGUUAAUUAAUAAUAAUAAUUUUGUUAUAAAUUAUUAUGGCAAUUUGGUUGGGUGAAUUGUUGACUUAGAUAGAUAUUUUAAAAUUAGGGUAAUGCUAAACAGUGCCCUAGGGCACUAGUUAAGCAUACUAAAAAAAGAAACAAAUGAUAAAGUUAAUGAUAAGAGAGAAUAACUUUUCACUUCAUUAAAACAUUGAAUGCACAAUUUACGAGAUAAAACUUCUAUAUUUAUAUCCUUAACUAGUACCCCGGGGCACUGUUUAGCAUUUUCCUUAAAAUUAUAAUAGGACGACUUUAGUGUUUGUUUUAUUCAAUUCAAUCAAGUUGUUGUUCGAUUAUAUUGAGAUCUUGUAUUACUAAGAUAUCAUUUACAAAGCGGGGAUGAUGUUAGUUGAAUUACUAGUCAUUAUUGGUGUGAGUCACAAUUGUCGAUUCAUGUAUUGGUCCACUUGUAUAUGCCGUCCAAACGGAUUUGGACCCUCUCUAAUUUUCCCUUGUGUUUUUUCUCAUUUUUUUUAAUUCAAUGGUUGAUUUUUUCUAUUUUUAUUUUUUGUAAUUUAUCAACCCUUAGAUUAAGAAAAAAGAGAGAAAACAUGAGGGAGUAUACUAGAUACAACAUCUCCUAGUUAAAAAUGGGAGAUACUUUUGAGAGACCAGAUAUUUAAGUGAUCCCACAUAUAUAGCCGUUUGAUCUUUGAUUAGGUGGCCUAAAAAAGAUAAUCAUAUUGUUAUUUAAAGAAUACUAAAAGCCCUAUUGUUAAAUCAUGGCCAUCUAAUCUUAAUCGGACGACCAAUAAUAUCUAACUGCAAUGAUUUUUUUUAACUGUAUAAUAACUUAAUUCAUCCAAAAAAGAGUAGUUUAAGUGCAUGAAGAUUUUGCUAUAUGUAGGGAAUGUAUUUGGUUGUGGUUCUUAGGGAGAACAGAUUGUCCUCUGUGAGACUCUUCAGUUUCCUGAUGUGUGGUCAUCCACACCAUUCAAUCAUGAGGGAGUUUUUUUGGUUUCCCGGUUAAAACUUGUCUCUCUUCAUCUUUGUUUCGGUUUGUUUAUUUUGCUUUCUUUGUAUAAAUUGUCAUGUUGUCGUAACAUUUAAUUAGUUUAAUGACUACUUAAACACAUUUUAGGUUUCACAAUUAUCCCUUAAAAAAAUCUGUUUUGGUCCUUUAUUAAUAUCACUGUUACCCAUAGAAGUCUUUUCCGUCCAUUUUUCUAGAGUGACGAGUGGCUGGAGCAAAAGAGUCAUUUUUCCAAAAAAUAUAAAGAAAAGAAAAAAAAUUGCAAAUCUUCAUAUCUUCGUCAUUUUCUUCAUCUUUUUCCCUCCUCUUCUUCAACAUCUUCAUCACCAUUUUCUUAAAUUCAUCUAAAAAUGCAGAUCUUCAAACAAGUUAAUAUUUUUAAUUAAGAUCCAAACUAGACAUGGCAAUAAAACUCAUAACCGCGGGUAUCCACCCAAAUCCAACCCGCUUUGAUUGGGAAAACCCGAGUUGACUGGGUUUGAGUUUGGGUUUUCCCCGAUUUCAAAAGACGGGAUAGAGGCGGGUAAUGGGGACAUUGAUACCUACCCCGAACUCGCCCCUCUUAUAUUAAAAUUAUAUUUUACCUAUUUUAAAUUAUAAACCCUUAAACAAUAUGUGGUCUCUUGUCAGCUCUUGGAUUGACUCUCCUUUGGUGACUACUCAGACUCCUUCGGAUCAUUUCGUUCAGUUUAUUGCUUCAGCAGGAGAUCUUCGAGCACGACGCUCUUUUAUGCAACUCAUAUGGCUUGUUAGUGUGUGGGUUGUGUGGACCGAAAGAAAUCACAGCUUAUUUAGAGGCUCGGAAAACUCUUUACAUCAGAUGUUGGACAAGAUUAAAACCUUUUUUUUUGGGUGGUUGAAAGAGACGAGUUGUACUUUAACUUUAAACUGCCAUAGGUGGUGGUCUAGNNNNNNNNNNNNNNNNNNNNNNNNNNNNNNNNNNNNNNNNNNNNNNNNNNNNNNNNNNNNNNNNNNNNNNNNNNNNNNNNNNNNNNNNNNNNNNNNNNNNNAUAUAUGUGUGUGUGUGUGUGUGUCUCAUUUUGACUUGCUAAAAAAAAACUCUUAAACAAUCUCUUAAAUUAUAUUUAUAUGUUUAUUUUUAAAAAUGCAAAUCUUCGUCAUCAUCAUUCUUUUACUCUCCUCUAUUUGCCCCUUAGAAACCCUAGCCGCCACCCAUUUUUUGGCCAUCAACUGCUCCGUGUCCUACUUUCACCGAUGGAACUGGAUCUGAGAUAUUUAGUUUCUUUUUUGUUAUUUUUCUUGAACCCAUGUAUUUUACUAGAUCUGUUUUUGAUGCUUUUGUAGAAUUUUUAUUUUGAGAUUUUGUUCAUUGAUUAUGUACCGGAUAUAUGAAUGUUACUUGAGACAUGAGCUCGUUUGGGCCCAACUUUUUUAAAGCUUAUGUAAACAGCUUAUGCAAUUUUUAUAUAUUAUUAUAAGUUUGUCAAAAUAGGUGUCAGUGCACAUCAUUGUUUUGCCAAUGAGAUUCUUUGUUCUUUGUAUUUGAAAGCUACUAGCUAAUAAUUGAGAAGUGAUUNNNNNNNNNNNNNNNNNNNNNNNNNNNNNNNNNNNNNNNNNNNNNNNNNNNNNNNNNNNNNNNNNNNNNNNNNNNNNNNNNNNNNNNNGAAUGUUUUUACUCCUCAUAAAGAUCUUAUUAUAUAAAAAAAAAUUAAGUGAUUUAUAUAAUAUUAUCCAGAUAAAAAAUGAAUUUAGGUGUGGAAUAUUUCUCAUCUGUUUGCAGAACUUUCCUCAUCUAACCGUACCAAUCUGAAGAAGAAAGAAUAAAUCCUGUACAAUACAACUAAGAUUUUUCUGAAUUUAAGAUAACAGAACAGCACAUGGUGUAGUUUGGAAUUUACAAUCAAAUCCACACAUUUACAAAAACAAACAAAUAAAGAAAUACAACAACAGAACAAAAUCACAGAUUGCUCGUACCGCAUCAACUAAUUUCUAUAUGAUGAUAUACAAAUAAAUAAUUAAUUGAAGAAAGUAGCAGCAAAACAUUAUCAACGAACAAUUAUUAACACAAUAAAAGACCAAAACAUGUAGCAGAAUGAAUGAAUGCAUUCAGGCUUUUCCUUCAACCCUUGCAUAAGUGAGUCCAACACAUGCAUCAACAAAAUCCUCAUCAAUAAAAUCAGUUGAAAAUACCUGAAUCCUAUCCGCAUAUCCCUUAGCAAAACACUGAGCAAUGAAUAACCUAGCAUAUCCAUGAAUACGUCUCGUAACAGGUUUAACACACAAAACAGGGUUAUCAGCCACCGGAGUAACCGUAUUCUCCACCCUAUAAAAGUAUUUCCUCGACGUAACCGGCGGUUGUUCACUCAAAUGCUUCAAAUUCCCAUCAAAUUUGGUUGAUGGCAGAUCCGUGUUAAUCCA
rnacentral:lncRNA from 1 species